rnacentral:rRNA from 1 species
AUUGAACGCUGGCGGCAUGCUUUACACAUGCAAGUCGAACGGCAGCGGGGGCUUCGGCCCGCCGGCGAGUGGCGAACGGGUGAGUAAUGCAUCGGAACGUGCCCAGUCGUGGGGGAUAACACAUCGAAAGAUGUGCUAAUACCGCAUACGUCCUGAGGGAGAAAGCGGGGGAUCUUCGGACCUCGCGCGAUUGGAGCGGCCGAUGUCGGAUUAGCUAGUUGGUGGGGUAAAAGCCCACCAAGGCGACGAUCCGUAGCGGGUCUGAGAGGAUGAUCCGCCACACUGGGACUGAGACACGGCCCAGACUCCUACGGGAGGCAGCAGUGGGGAAUUUUGGACAAUGGGCGCAAGCCUGAUCCAGCCAUGCCGCGUGAGUG